rnacentral:lncRNA from 1 species
UCUAGUUUAUUUUAUAUGGAUUAGACCGUUGGUUUUUCCCGUUUGAAUGGUUUUACACUAGUAAUUUUGGGGCCCUUUAUAGCUUGUUGUUCGGUGUGAGCCAAGGCUCCGUGUUGAAGGCUGUACAUUGACCUAUAAUGGUUUACUUUUUUUAAAAUUGUUAUUUGAAUGGUGAGUUGUCUCAUUGGCACUCACACCACAUCUUCCUAUAUCU